GGCGCAUUCGUCUAGCGGUUAGGACGCAGCCCUCUCAAGGCUGUGGCACGGGUUCGAGUCCCGUAUGCGCUACAA
rnacentral:tRNA from 1 species